UCGAGAAUCAUUCGCAAUGGGGGAAACCCUGACGGUGCGACGCCGCGUGGAGGACAUGAAGGCCCUAGGGUUGUAAACUCCUGUCAUCAGUGAGUAAGGCAUGUGUGUUAAUACCAUACAUGUUUGAUAGUAGCUGAAGAGGAAGAGACGGCUAACUCUGUGCCAGCAGCCGCGGUAAUACAGAGGUCUCAAGCGUUGUUCGGAAUCACUGGGCGUAAAGCGUGCGUAGGCGGCGAGGUAAGUCAGAUGUGAAAUCUUGGGGCUCAACCCUGAAACUGCAUCCGAUACUGCCUUGCUAGAGUAAUGGAGGGGAGUCUGGAAUUCUCGGUGUAGCAGUGAAAUGCGUAGAUAUCGAGAGGAACACUAGUGGCGAAGGCGAGACUCUGGACAUUUACUGACGCUGAGGUACGAAGGCUAGGGUAGCGAAAGGG
rnacentral:rRNA from 1 species